UACGUAGGGGGCAAGCGUUGUCCGGAUUUAUUGGGCGUAAAGCGCGUGUAGGCGGCCAGGUAGGUCAGCUGUGAAAACUCGAGGCUCAACCUCGAGAUGUCGGCUGAAACCAUCUGGCUAGAGUCCGGAAGAGGAGAAUGGAAUUCCCGGUGUAGCGGUGAAAUGCGCAGAUAUCGGGAAGAACACCCGUGGCGAAGGCGGUUCUCUGGGACGGUACUGACGCUGAGACGCGAAAGCGUGGGGAGCGAACAGGAUUAGAAACCCCCGUAGUCC
rnacentral:rRNA from 1 species